UGUUAGAGAGCUCUCCCUCCCCUGGGGGCGGGGCCGAGUUAUUGCUUGGAGGUUGCUAUGGUGCCCAGCCAUGAGCGCCGGGACCUGGCAGACCGAGAAAAAUGGAGGACUUCUUCUUCACCCCGUUGUCGGUGGAAGUUGCAUCAACAUUUAUCGAUCUCCCACAAAAUUAUCAGACUAUGUGUCGACUUUUCCAGAGGGAAGAAAAUCCUUUUCUAUUUCAAACACUCCAGCUCCAAGAAACAGAUUAUAUUAAAAAUUAUAAAGGAUUUCAGGAUGAAAUCACAAUUAAAGUGGCUGGCAAUAACCACUUAAUAACGCCAGUGCAGAGACUUACAGAUAAAGAUUUUGAAGUACUUAUCUAUUCCAUAAAACCGUAUACAAAUAUUACAGGUUUGGAUGUUAGAUAUAACCUCAUAACUGAUUAUGGAGCGCAUCAUGUCGUAAAACUCCUUGAGGAUAUCCAAAAUAUCACUUAUCUAAAUCUUAUGUUUAAUGACAUUGAGACUGAGGGGGGAGAAAUGAUAGCAAAAGCACUUCACAGAAAUACAACUCUCAAAUACCUAAGAAUGACUGGGAACAAGAUUGGAAAUAAAGGUGGAAUGUUUUUUGCUACAAUGCUUCAAAUUAAUUCAUCAUUAGAGAAGUUAGAUUUGGGAGACUGUGAUCUGGAGAUGCAGAGUUUGAUAGCAUUAGCAACUGUAUUAACUAAAAAUACGUCAAUAAAAGGGAUCAACCUAAACCGCCCUCUACUGAAGAGUGAAGAGGAAGAAUCCACCGUCCAUAUAGGCAACAUGUUGCAAAUUAACUCAUCUAUUAUUGAAAUACACUUGUGUAAGCAUGAUAUGAAAAAUUUUGGUAUGGAGCAGUUGUGUAAAGGCCUCCUUCUAAACACUUCUCUACGUUACCUAGAUGUCAGCUGCAACAGAAUAACACGUGAUGCAAUGAAAUAUUUGGGAGAGCUAUUAAAAAGAAAUAAUGUGUUGGAAGUAAUAGAUCUUUCUUCAAACAGAAUUGAAGAUGAAGGCUCUUUGUAUCUGGCUGAAGCUCUGGCUUUUUAUAACACAAGUCUGAAAGCGUUAUCUGUAGUGAGCAAUAACAUAAGUGGAGAGGGACUUAAAGCUUUUUCAGAUGCACUGAAAACAAACACUACACUUUCUAAUUUUUAUAUCUGGGGAAAUAAAUUUGAUAGCGAAACAUGUGUGGCAUUUUCACAUUUAAUAAAGUCGGGUCGUCUAAAACUGGAAAAUAUAGAUGUGGAGCCAUACGUAGUUGAUAACCUUAUGUAUUUUGCUGAGGUCUCUCAUGGCAUUAAAAAACAUUAUUAUUGGACACCCAGUUAUGGAGAAAUUGAAGGUGCUUCAACCAAUGCAGGCUUUGCUAUUGUACCAACAACUCCGCAUCUGUGAAAACAAGUUUCUAACUUCCUGGAAAUACAGUGGGAAAUGUACAUACUACUGAAACAGGCAACUGAGAGGCAACUGUGUAUAGUAGACAGAAAACUGACCUUGCACAGGGGAAGGCUUGCUGGGGUGACCUGGGGCCAAAUACUCAAACUUCUCAGUGCCUUGAGCAAUUUCCUAAAUUAGGAAGAAGGACCAUUCUCUCUUGCAUCCUGCAAUGGUUGGCCGGCCUGCUUGGACUUCUCUUGCCCUGGCAUCAUCUGUUUUCCAUACUGGCAGCAUCUUAACAGAAGUGUUCCCUAGGCCCGGGUUUUCCAGGAAGAAGUCUAAGUGAUGAAAAGAAAUGAAUCUGGAAUAUCUGUUACAUCCUAUAAUUUUGUAGGCUUUUAUAAGCUUGGACAAUUUCUUGGUAAUUUUUUGCCCUGCAGUUUACCAAUCCACUGCUUGACAAAAUUUUUUCACUCAACUAAAUUUAAUGCUCAUUGGUGAAAAGAAAAACUUAAUUUUUCUUUUUAUAAUCAAUUCUUUUCUUCAAGGCCAAAAUAAUUUUUAAUUUUUUUUUCUCCUUGCUGUCUGAUUCAAAAAGGAGCAAUAUACGUAUUUGCAUUCAUAAGAAAUAGAAAUCAUUUUCGAUCUCCAUAGGAUUUCCAAGGAAACUUUUCAUCUUAAAUGCUUCUCAAUAAAAAAUUACACAUGUUUUGGUGCCUUCUUGCACGAGAUUUCAUCUUUAGUCUAGAAGCCAAAAGUUCAGUUUGACUAUUGGAUCAUCGAUGAUGACAUUUUGAUCUGUUUGAGUUUUUAAAGGAGAACAGAAAGUUUACACGGAGGAAUCACCCCAACCUUGCUGAUUUCCUAUUUUGAAACCAAUCAAGAUUAUAAUCAGUCAAUAGAUUCAUCUUCUGCAUCUAAGUUCCAAGUUCCUUGUGACUCAAUAUAGAUCUUCACUAUAUAAAAGAGGUUCUUAAAGCUAGUGGAUUUAGAUAACGUGCAAUAUAACUUGGGAGAAAAUCCUUGAUAUAUUUAUUUGUUAAGUAAAAAUUGCAACUGGUUGAAUGUAUUUUUGUUUUGCAGUAUAAAAACAAGAUAUUGGCAUCAAAUCAGUUAAUAUCCUAAUAUUAGUGACAUAAGUGAGAAGCCCAAGACUUAACCGUUAUGUGGAGCACCUAUUUAAUAACCAAAAUCGAGGUCUUGUGCUUUCUUAGAUAAGUAUGGUUUCAUCUCUAAGAUUGACAACUUAGCCCACCACAUAAAUAGGAAAAACUAUUCAAUGAUCAAUACACAACAAAAGUUAUUCAGACGACUGAUACACAGACUAAAAAUAUUUACCAAACAACACCUGGCAUACCACUGAGUAAAAUAGUUUGCUAAAAUGCAUCUUACUGAAAAUAUACAAAUAAGUAAAAACUCCUUUAAUAAUUAAGCACUUACUAUAUGCCAGGCACCAUACCAAUUGUUGAGGAUAUAGAUUCUUUCCCUGUCCCCAAGAAGCUUACAUCUAAUAGGGAAAGGUAACACAGGAGAGCCUGCCUUGCUAAACUAAACAGCACACAGGAUGGGACUUCAAAGAGCAUGUUCUAAGAACAAGCCAACUGCUGACUUCUCACAACUGUCUCCCCAUUUUUUCUUCCUUAAUUUAACCAAAAACAUUUUAUUACCGCCUCAUAUUACAUAAUUUGUUUUUUUUUAAAUCACAUCAUGUAAUAAUGAUGGAUGACAACAAAUUCAUUUGCAUUAGUGAAUUCAAUAUACAAAAAUUACAUAUAAAACACCAAGAAAUUUUCACCUGCCAAAAUGUGUGUCAACACUAAAAUAAAUUUCAGUAUGAAGUUAAACACAUAGGUACAGUACUUACCAACAAGAAUUAAAUAAUCAAUAAACAUUAAUAACAUAAACUAUAUAAUAUUCCUUUGCAGAAAAAGUCAGUUGUCAUUUUUCAUAAAUGUUAUUACCUAUUUAUGGCAUGGUUCAUAGAACUGAAUUAAAAGUUGAAAUCCCACCUUUAACACUCACCAUGGGCAAAUCAUUUAAUCAUUUAGCCUCAGUUUCCUCAAAUAGAACAUGGGCAUAAUAACUAUAGUGAAACAAAACAAGAUAGUAUACACAAGCUGCUUUAUAAACUUUAAAAUUUGACAUAAAUGUCAAUUAUAAUACAUGCAAAUAUAACAAGAAUCCCUAUUAUUGUAGGUAGAGUAUACUAUCAAGCUCUAAGGCUUGCCAUGUUGACACACAAAGGAUCAUAAAUUUUGUGCAGGAAGGGAACUUCAAAGUCUAGUCCAACCCCUUGAUUUUACAGACAAGGAAACUGAGUCUACAGCAGUUAAGUGAAUUUUUUAAGAUCACCCAGAUCAUAAGUGGCUCCCCACCCAGAACUCUUUCUAUUGCAUUAUAUGACUUAAUUUCUCCUCAUACUACGCCUGCAGUGUAUCUUUGUACCAUCUCUGCCCACAGAUGAGAAAACUGAACUCACAGAAAUUGAUUUGUUCUUAGUACCAGAGCUAUUAAAAGUGCCUGAGGCGGGGCCAACAGUGUAUAUAAAGUAGGUAAUAUUUUUGUUGGUUGUUUCUGAAAUGGUUAUAAUAUAUAUCAAUCCCCUGACUUCUUACCACUCCAAUUCUACAAUAGGCUUCCCUUCAUUUUAGGAUCAAUUUACAUUAACUUACACAACAAAGCAUAGUUAUCUCAAAGAAUUAAACACUGGAUUGUAUCUACCCAACAUUUUCCAUCUGAGUUUUGCUUCCAAAUAGCACUUACCAAGAAAACUGAUUAUGGCUUGAGUUUCAAUUUUUCAACCCUAGGAAGUUUUUGUUUUAGCACAAUGAAAAUCCAAAACUGUGUCUACUAGAUUAGGAGGGAAGGAAGGAGACUCCAUUCCCCACAGAACGGAUGAACCAUAUCAAUCCUCUCAGCUUUUCUCUCUGAGGUAAGUCUUCCCCUCAUUCUUUCCAUUUACUCCUUGCUCUUAAGAUGAGGUGGGCUCAGCCAAUUUGGUCCUUUCUCAAAGCCCUGAUGCCACUGCUCACCAGCCCAGUCUAACUGCCAGUUUCUUUUGAAACUUAGAGAACAUUCAUCUUUCAGGCUUUGUUUUAUUUUCAAAGCAAAGCUGUUGAUCUAUAUUUGAAGUUGAAGUUUUAAAGAUAGGAAGGACUACUUGCUCGCCCUCAGUAGUUUGAUUGGUUCAUAUAGAGAAAGGUGUUCAUCUGUCCACUUCUUUCCUUGAGCUGACCCCUUCAUUUUGAGCUAUAUGGAUAAAUAGAAAACAGCCAUCACUAUAUGGCAGACCAUGUAAAAUCACUCAUGCCUUUCUCGUGUUCCAAGGCUGACAAUCCACUGGAAACCAAAGGUUGCCUCCUACCUUGGGUUCAAAUGGUGUCAAAUAAGAAUUAACAAAUAGCUCUCUCUGAAAUUUCGCCAGGUAUCAUAUUUAAAGGGAUAACUAUAAACAAUGCUAUUUGAAUUUUACAUUUAUCCUAUAUUCAAAAGCGGAUAUUAGGACACACAGUAUCCAUUUUAGCAACUUUGUUCUUGAAGUUAGCAAAAAUUUUCGCUAUCACCAUAUUUUUAGAAGAGUACUUUGUCUAUACCAUAAUUUUUCUGCUAUGCUCUAAAUUCCUUCAAUUAACAACUCUCCUAAAAUAAAAAGGACGGUAUAAAGAAUUACUCAAGUGAAAAAAAAAUCUCUUACACUGACUUUUGGUAACAUUUGAAAAUUACUUUUUAAAAGACAUUAACUUAAAUCAUGGUAAAAAUCAUGGUAUUUUUCUGCUACCAGGUAUUUUUAACCAGUAUUCAGACACUUGUAAAAAAAAAAAAAAAAAAAAACUCAUAGAAGUAGGUGAAAAGUUUACAUGAAAACAUCUCUUAGUUGGCUUAAAAGCCAAGAAAUGUCUAGAACAUAAUUAAAAAAUUAGUACACAUGACAUUAAUUUAAUGUAAUAUAGUUAAGUAUAUCAAGUGUAGUCAUUUCCAUGAAUUCUGUAAACAGCAUAUAGAAAGAAUUUUGUAGGGUACACUAUUUAAUUAUUGCUGCAAUAGAACUAUAUCAGACUUUGAAAAGGUUAAAAUAAUUUUGUAAAAUAGUAUUAAAAAUAAUCUGUAAAUAAAGAACACUAAACAAAUGUUAUUUACAAACAUCUAAAAUGACUGAUAUAUAAAUCUAAGCAUUUUUAGUUGGAAAUCUAAGAAUACAGUAGAAAUAAUCUAAUAUUACAAGUACAAAACAAAUUCACAUAGAAAGUACAUUCCAUCUCUCAGUGUGCUCUUCAGAAUUAACUUGCCCAGUAAUUCAUUGUAAAUAAUCAAUUCAUUUAAAAAUAACAAGUAAUCUCUUCCCACAAUAGCACAUCAUAGAUGUAUUUAGUUUAACAGUUAAAGAUGAACUUACCAUACCCUUUAAUUGUAUGAUCUGACACAUAGGUUAAAAUAUUGUUUUCUUUUUAGACAGGCAAGGUCUACCAUGAAACAACAUACUAAAUUAGUACACAGACUGAAAACAAUAAUAUAGA